AUACGGAGGGUGCAAGCGUUAUCCGGAAUCACUGGGCGUAAAGGACGCGUAGGCGGGUUGGCAAGUCAGAUGUGAAAUCCUACAGCUUAACUGUAGAACUGCAUUUGAAACUGCUAACCUAGAGUAUGGGAGGGGGAGAUGGAAUUAGUGGUGUAGGGGUAAAAUCCGUAGAUAUCACUAGGAAUACCGAAAGCGAAGGCGAUCUCCUGGAACAUAACUGACGCUAAGGCGUGAAAGCGUGGGGAGCAAACAGGAUUAGAAACCCUAGUAGUCC
rnacentral:rRNA from 1 species